rnacentral:rRNA from 1 species
CUACGGGGCGCUCCAGUGAGGAAUAUUGCACGAUGGGGGGAACCCUGAUGCAGCAACGCCGCGUGGAGGAUGACGCAUUUCGGUGUGUAAACUCCUUUUAUAUGUCAAGAAAAUGACGGUAGCAUAUGAAUAAGCACCGGCUAACUCCGUGCCAGCAGCCGCGGUAAUAAGGAGGGUGCAAGCGUUACUCGGAAUCACUGGGCGUAAAGGACGCGUAGGCGGGUUGGAAAGUCAGGUGUGAAAUCCUACAGCUUAACUGUAGAACUGCACUUGAAACUUCUAAUCUAGAGUAUGGGAGGGGGAGAUGGAAUUAGUGGUGUAGGGGUAAAAUCCGUAGAUAUCACUAGGAAUACCUAAAGCGAAGGCGAUCUCCUGGAACAUUACUGACGCUAAGGCGUGAAAGCGUGGGGAGCAAACAGGAUUAGAUACCCUUGUAGUC